GUUCAAAGUAGUCAUGCAGCCAAGAGAUCACUGAGCUUCACAGUUCUUAGCCAUCUCUAGGUCUCAGUGCUUUACUUCUUCACUGCCUAGGGUACUCCUUAAUCCUUCAUCACAUGACAGAAGAAUAGUGAACAUUUAUGGAGCCCUUGUUGUUCCUGGAGGUCAGAAGUCUGAAAUCGGUCUUGCAAGGUUAAAAUCAAGAUGUUGGCAGAACUGGAUCUUUUUGGAGGUUCCAGACCAGAACACGUUAGGAAACAUAUUCCACUAUUCAAAGGAUAAAGCUCUUCUUUCAAAUUGUGUACUGAAGAUAUUUAGUUAGAAAAAGACUCAGUAGUAUGCCUGGAUCUAGCAGAGGACACUGAGGAGUCCCUGGAAGAUUGCGGCAACACAAGACGGAGAAGCCAGGAUCCCAAAGCACCAAGUGAAAGACUGGUCGGCAAAAAUCCAUUUGAACUGUGAUGAGAGAGCUGCAGACUGAUGAAA
rnacentral:lncRNA from 1 species